UAAUUUUUAAAGUAAAAUCCCGAUACGCUGCUAGUCUUGCGAGAUGUUUCUGUAAAAGGUUCUGAGUUGACGAAAACUCAAUAUGGAUCGCUCCAUCAGUUUCACGGACUGUUAGGUCCAUUUCUUGGACCUUGGACAAUGCAGCGGGUUGAUGUGAAAGCGUUCAAUUGGGUCGCUGGCAACUUCCCCGGAUUGGACUCAGCCGGUCGUGGUGCCUUUGAAUCGUUAACAUCAGGCUUCAUCUCGCUUAAUUCUGUGGCUUUACUUUGUGGCAGAAAUAAUCUCGGGUUUGGCGUUAAGAAUGCAAUAAAGAGAGAAAGUGUGGAUUUAUAAAUGGAAGCGGAAGGCGGCACUGAUGCAAUGAAUGAGUUUGGGGAAAUCAGACAGACAGUCCAUAACUUUGGUAGCUGUAGUGGGGUUCAUGCUUUUAAGAGAACUCUGAAACUUUCACGAGAGAUAUCCAUUAGGACCAUUAUGCUAGAUGGCAGGUUGGUGAAAUUCUUUUUUUCACAUUGGAUUAUCGUAUAUCAUGGGAGUUUGGUUGGAAGAAUUUAUGAUCCUGUUUAUGUAAUCAGCCUGUUUUUGCAAUGAAACUCUUUGGAAAUUUCCCUUUCAGUUUGGUGGUAAGCUUAGAGCCGGAUGUCGAACGCACUCUCCUAUGGUUUAGUAACAAGAACUAAGACUGUUGCCCACUCUAUUUCAUUGAUCAUUAUCAACUCUAUUAUCAACUCUAAAAUACCUCAAGUUGUAGAGAACGGUGGGAAGUGAUUUUCCAUUAUAGACAUGAACGCAACCGUACCAAAUGAAAUGAUUUACUUUACCUUCGUAAUCGUGCUCAUUUUUUCAGCAGUAGUGAUAUUGUGACAUGCGUUUUCUGUGGUAUUCAUUUACUGCGUCCUUGACUUUGUUACUAGCACUUAUGCUAGUAGAAGUUCUCUCUACUUUAUUCUGAAUUUUGUCUCCAGGGGGCUUGUGGGGACUGGUCCAUACAAGUUAUCGCACGCUCUCCCACCAAAUGUUACCGAAUACAUUUUUCAGGCUCUUAAACCAAGAUAACUACACGCCGUUUUAGUUUUAGGUUCAGUUUCUAAGCAAUGAACCGAAAUGGCUACAACUUAGUGUUACACAGUUAUUGAUCAUAAGCGGGUACCUCAGUUUCAAAUGGAGAUGGAAACCGGAUACUCUUCAUCACCUACAACCAAGAAAUGUAGUCCUGGCUCAAUCACCAUCAAGCCAACUUCAUUGGCUCUGGAAAGGUGUUCACAGGGACUUAACACAAAUCCAACUUCGGCACUUUCCCCAGCAUUUAGCUUUACACUCUGGAAACCUACCAGCUGUUUAACUGGACUCCCAUUGCUAGGUUUUUCCUUUCUUGUGAAUAGCAAUACAGGAUGCUUUCCGGCCAUCUUUCCAUUAUUUUUUAUGCCAAUGGUGAUCGAGAACUUCUUCCUCUCACAGAGUUUCUCCCCCAGCUCUGAAACCAACUUGGCUUCCGGUGUCUGUGUAGCCUUUGAUGGUUGAUUCAACUGGAAAUGAAACUUGCUUUGUGUGACAGACGAGAAGUUGUAAGCAUAGUUUGAGUAGCUGAGGCCAUAACCGAACUCAAACACCUUUUCACCUUUGUAGAAACGGUAUGUACGCCCAGGAUAGCCUGAUGAUGGUUCCGAUCUGAUCCUCAUGUCUGUCAUUGGUAUUUUUACGAACUCUUCAGGAUACCACGUCACUGGCAAUCUUCCUCCUGCGUGCAAAAAUCAAGUAUAGUACUAUCAAACCUGUGCUUAAACAAAAUAAACAGUUCCCGUCUCUAUCUCUCUCUCUCUCUCUCUCUCUCUCUCUCUCUCUCUCACUCUUAGUUGCAAAACUUAUCUAUGAGGCAAGUGUAAAUUGACCACCUGGAUUAUGGUCGCCAAAGAUAAUUUCUGCAAGAGCAGUUCCUCCAGACUCGCCUGGAUAACCAGCCCACAGGAUGCUUCCGAUAUUUUUGUCAUACUUGGCUGAAGAUAUAUCAACUGGACCUCCUGAAAGAAGAACCAGAACAACAGGUUUCUUGGCUGCUCUUGCAACACUGGUGAUAAGUUCCUGUUGUUUUCCAGGAAGCACUAAAUGCAAACGAUCAUGGGACUCCCUCUCUUCAGUUUGGUCCAGUCCCAUAAUCAAAACCACAUAAUUCACCCCCUUGGCUAUGUUGACUGCUUCUUCAAUUGCAGCUGAAGAACAGUUCACUGCAUUGCAACCCGGGUGGUGGAUUACGUUUUUGACGUAUCUCUGCAAUCCUUCCAGCGGGGUAACAGAUUUGCAUGGAAGGCCUGCAUAGUUUCCCAGAAGUGUUUUAGAAGAAUUGGCAUUAGGGCCUAUUACAGCAAGGGACAAGGUUGUUGUUUGUGACAGUGGAAGCAGUCUGUCAGAGUUCUUUAACAGGACAAUGCCAUUUCGAGCGGCCUCAAGGGCUAGAUCCUGGUUCUCUAUGGUACAAACUUUAUCUGGACCGAUGUUGCCAAAAGGCAGCUGAACUGGAUUCCCAUCAAACAAUCCUAGCCUCAUUCUGACAGAGAAAAGGUUGUGAAGCGCUCUGUCUAUUUCAGAUACACCUAAUUUUUUCUGCUCUACAGCUUUCUGAGUGUGAUUCUGCAAGUAGGAUCCACAGUUCACAUCCAUGCCUGAAAAUAAUGUUCAAAGUACAGAUAAUCAACCGUUCAAAAUUGGCUA